CAGGAGCGGCUGAAGGCGGAGCGGAAGCGGCUGAGGAACCGGAUCGCGGCCUCCAAGUGCCGGCGGCGGAAGCUGGAGCGCAUCGCCCGCCUGGAGGAAAAGGUGAAGGCGCUCAAGGGGCAGAACGCCGAGCUGGCCGCCACCGCCAACCUGCUGCGCGCCCAGGAGGUUCCAGAGGCCGGAUGUUAAGCGUGUCGCAAGGGUAA
rnacentral:lncRNA from 1 species